UGGGGGAUAUUGCACAAUGGGGGAAACCCUGAUGCAGCGACGCCGCGUGGGUGAAGAAGUAUUUCGGUAUGUAAAGCCCUAUCAGCAGGGAAGAAGAUGACAGUACCUGACUAAGAAGCCCCGGCUAACUACGUGCCAGCAGCCGCGGUAAUACGUAGGGGGCAAGCGUUAUCCGGAUUUACUGGGUGUAAAGGGAGCGUAGACGGCGAUGCAAGUCUGGAGUGAAAGCCCGGGGCCCAACCCCGGGACUGCUUUGGAAACUGUGUAGCUGGAGUACAGGAGGGGCAGGCGGAAUUCCUGGUGUAGCGGUGAAAUGCGUAGAUAUCAGGAGGAACACCGGCGGCGAAGGCGGCCUGCUGGACUGAAACUGACGUUGAGGCUCGAAAGCGUGGGGAGCAAACAGGA
rnacentral:rRNA from 1 species